UUUAAGUGCAACCAUAAGUUUCCAUGUCCAACUUUGAUUGUCCGUUUUAUUUGAAUUUUUUUUAUAAUUAGUAUUUUUGUUGUUAUGAGAUGAUAAAAUAUGAACAAUACUUUAUUCAUGACUUAUGUUUUUAAAUUUUUUUAAAUAAGACGGACGAUUAAAAUUGGGCACGGAAAAUUAUGGCUACACUUAAA
rnacentral:pre_miRNA from 1 species